UGGGGAAUCUUCCGCAAUGGACGAAAGUCUGACGGAGCAACGCCGCGCGAGUGAAGACGGCCUUCGGGUUGUAAAGCUCUGUGAUUCGGGACGAAAGGCCAUAUGUGAAUAAUAUAUGGAAAUGACGGUACCGAAAAAGCAAGCCACGGCUAACUACGUGCCAGCAGCCGCGGUAAUACGUAGGUCCCGAGCGUUGUCCGGAUUUAUUGGGCGUAAAGCGAGCGCAGGCGGUUAGAAAAGUCUGAAGUGAAAGGCAGUGGCUCAACCAUUGUAGGCUUUGGAAACUGUUUAACUUGAGUGCAGAAGGGGAGAGUGGAAUUCCAUGUGUAGCGGUGAAAUGCGUAGAUAUAUGGAGGAACACCGGUGGCGAAAGCGGCUCUCUGGUCUGUAACUGACGCUGAGGCUCGAAAGCGUGGGGAGCGAACAGG
rnacentral:rRNA from 1 species